UACGUAGGGGGCAAGCGUUGUCCGGAAUCAUUGGGCGUAAAGCGCGCGUAGGCGGCCCGGUAAGUCCGUUGUGAAAGUCAAAGGCUCAACCUUUGAAUGCCGAUGGAUACUGCCGGGCUAGAGUCCGGAAGAGGCGAGUGGAAUUCCUGGUGUAGCGGUGGAAUGCGCAGAUAUCAGGAGGAACACCGAUAGCGAAGGCAGCUCGCUGGGACGGUACUGACGCUGAGGCGCGAAAGCGUGGGGAGCAAACAGG
rnacentral:rRNA from 1 species